rnacentral:tRNA from 1 species
GCCAUCUUAGCUCAACUGGUAGAGCAACGGUUUUGUAAACCGUAGGUUCCCGGUUCGAUCCCGGGAGAUGGCU